CAGCCGCCGCGGUGAGACAGAGGAUGCAAGCGUUAUCCGGAAUGAUUGGGCGUAAAGCGUCUGUAGGUGGCUUUUCAAGUCCGCCGUCAAAUCCCAGGGCUCAACCCUGGACAGGCGGUGGAAACUACCAAGCUAGAGUACGGUAGGGGCAGAGGGAAUUUCCGGUGGAGCGGUGAAAUGCGUUGAGAUCGAAAAGAACACCAACGACGAUAGCACUCUGCUGGGUCGACACUGACACUGAGAGACGAAAGCUAGGGGAGCAAAUGGGAUUAGAUACCCCCGUAGUCCCUGUCUCUUAUAC
rnacentral:rRNA from 1 species